CCUACGGGUGGCAGCAGUGAGGAAUAUUGCGCAAUGGGGGAAACCCUGACGCAGCAACGCCGCGUGGGUGAAGAAGGCCAUCGGGUCGUAAAGCUCUGUCAGAGGGGAAGAAAUGCAGGUGGUGAACAACCAUUCUGUUUGACGGUACCCUCAAAGGAAGCACCGGCUAACUCCGUGCCAGCAGCCGCGGUAAUACGGAGGGUGCGAGCGUUGUUCGGAAUUAUUGGGCGUAAAGCGCGUGUAGGCGGUUUGUUAAGUCUGAUGUAAAAGCCCCGGGCUCAACCUGGGAAGUGCAUUGGAUAGUGGCAGACUUGAGUACGGGAGAGGAGAGUGGAAUUCCCAGUGUAGGAGUAAAAUCCGUAGAUAUUGGGAGGAACACCGAUGGCGAGGGCGGCUCUCGGGACCG
rnacentral:rRNA from 1 species